rnacentral:rRNA from 1 species
CGUUGGAAACGACUGCUAAGACUGGAUAGGAGACAAGAAGGCAUCUUCUUGUUUUUAAAAGACCUAGCAAUAGGUAUGCUUAGGGAGGAGCUUGCGUCACAUUAGUUAGUUGGUGGGGCAAAGGCCUACCAAGACUAUGAUGUGUAGCCGGGCUGAGAGGUUGAACGGCCACAUUGGGACUGAGACACGGCCCAAACUCCUACGGGAGGCAGCAGUAGGGAAUUUUCGGCAAUGGAGGAAACUCUGACCGAGCAACGCCGCGUGAACGAUGAAGUAUUUCGGUACGUAAAGUUCUUUUAUUAGGGAAGAAUAAAUGAUGGAAAAAUCAUUCUGACGGUACCUAAUGAAUAAGCCCCGGCUAACUAUGUGCCAGCAGCCGCGGUAAUACAUAGGGGGCAAGCGUUAUCCGGAAUUAUUGGGCGUAAAGGGUGCGUAGGCGGUUAAAUAAGUUUAUGGUCUAAGUGCAAUGCUCAACAUUGUGAUGCUAUAAAAACUGUUUAGCUAGAGUAAGAUAGAGGCAAGUGGAAUUCCAUGUGUAGUGGUAAAAUGCGUAAAUAUAUGGAGGAACACCAGUAGCGAAGGCGGCUUGCUGGGUCUUUACUGACGCUGAGGCACGAAAGCGUGGGGAGCAAACAGGAUUAGAUACCCUGGUAGUCCACGCCGUAAACGAUGAGUACUAAACGUUGGGUAAAACCAGUGUUGAAGUUAACACAUUAAGUACUCCGCCUGAGUAGUACGUACGCAAGUAUGAAACUUAAAGGAAUUGACGGGACUCCGCACAAGCGGUGGAUCAUGUUGUUUAAUUCGAAGGUACCCGAAAAACCUCACCAGGUCUUGACAUGCUUCUGCAAAGCUGUAGAAACACAGUGGAGGUUAUCAGUUGCACAGGUGGUGCAUGGUUGUCGUCAGCUCGUGUCGUGAGAUGUUGGGUUAAGUCCCGCAACGAGCGCAACCCUUAUUGUUAGUUACCAGCACGUAAUGGUGGGGACUUUAGCAAGACUGCCAGUGAUAAAUUGGAGGAAGGUGGGGACGACGUCAAAUCAUCAUGCCCCUUAUGACCUGGGCUACAAACGUGAUACAAUGGCUGUUACAAAGGGUAGCUGAAGCGCAAGUUUUUGGCGAAUCUCAAAAAAACAGUCUCAGUUCGGAUUGAAGUCUGCAACUCGACUUCAUGAAGUUGGAAUCGCUAGUAAUCGCGAAUCAGCAUGUCGCGGUGAAUACGUUCUCGGGGUUUGUACACACCGCCCGUCAAACCACGAAAG